UACGUAGGGGGCAAGCGUUGUCCGGAUUUAUUGGGCGUAAAGAGCGUGUAGGCGGCCAGGUAGGUCUGCUGUGAAAACUCGAGGCUUAACCCUCGAGAUGUCGGCGGAAACCAUCUGGCUAGAGUCCGGAAGAGGAGAGCGGAAUUCCUGGUGUAGCGGUGAAAUGCGCAGAUAUCAGGAAGAACACCCGUGGCUAAGGCGGCUCUCUAGUACGGUACUGACGCUGAGACGCGAAAGCGUGGGAGCGAACAGG
rnacentral:rRNA from 1 species